rnacentral:rRNA from 1 species
UACGUAGGCAGCAAGCGUUGUUCGGAAUUACUGGGCGUAAAGAGUGUGUAGGCGGUUGUCCGAGUCUGGCGUGAAAUCUCCCGGCUUAACUGGGUGGGUGCAUUAGAAACUGGAAUGCUAGAGGAUGGGAGAGGUAAGCGGAAUUCCUGGUGUAGCGGUGAAAUGCGCAGAUAUCAGGAGGAACACCGGUGGCGAAGGCGGUGCUCUGGGCCAGAACUGACGCUGAGGAGCGAAAGCGUGGGGAGCAAACAGG